rnacentral:rRNA from 1 species
AUUGAACGCUGGCGGCAGGCCUAACACAUGCAAGUCGAGCGGAUGAAGGGAGCUUGCUCCUGGAUUCAGCGGCGGACGGGUGAGUAAUGCCUAGGAAUCUGCCUGGUAGUGGGGGAUAACGUCCGGAAACGGGCGCUAAUACCGCAUACGUCCUGAGGGAGAAAGUGGGGGAUCUUCGGACCUCACGCUAUCAGAUGAGCCUAGGUCGGAUUAGCUAGUUGGUGGGGUAAAGGCCUACCAAGGCGACGAUCCGUAACUGGUCUGAGAGGAUGAUCAGUCACACUGGAACUGAGACACGGUCCAGACUCCUACGGGGGGCAGCAGUGGGGAAUAUUGGACGAUGGGCGAAAGCCUGAUACAGCCAUGCCGCGUGUGUGAAGAAGGUCUUCGGAUUGUAAAGCACUGUAAGUUGGGAGGAAGGGCAGUAAGUUAAUACCUUGCUGUUUUGACGUUACCAACAGAAUAAGCACCGGCUAACUUCGUG